GACGAACGCUGGCGGCGUGCCUAAUACAUGCAAGUCGAACGCACGAAGUUGAAGAGCUUGCUCUUUAACCAAGUGAGUGGCGGACGGGUGAGUAACACGUGGGUAACCUGCCCAUUAGAGGGGGAUAACAUUCGGAAACGGAUGCUAAUACCGCAUAGUUUCAGGAAUCGCAUGAUUCUUGAAGGAAAGGUGGCUUCGGCUACCACUAAUGGAUGGACCCGCGGCGUAUUAGCUAGUUGGUGAGGUAAUGGCUCACCAAGGCAAUGAUACGUAGCCGACCUGAGAGGGUGAUCGGCCACACUGGGACUGAGACACGGCCCAGACUCCUACGGGAGGCAGCAGUAGGGAAUCUUCCGCAAUGGACGAAAGUCUGACGGAGCAACGCCGCGUGAGUGAAGAAGGUUUUCGGAUCGUAAAACUCUGUUGUUAAAGAAGAACAAGGAUGAGAGUAACUGCUCAUCCCCUGACGGUAUUUAACCAGAAAGCCACGGCUAACUACGUGCCAGCAGCCGCGGUAAUACGUAGGUGGCAAGCGUUGUCCGGAUUUAUUGGGCGUAAAGCGAGCGCAGGCGGUUCUUUAAGUCUGAUGUGAAAGCCCCCGGCUCAACCGGGGAGGGUCAUUGGAAACUGGAGAACUUGAGUGCAGAAGAGGAGAGUGGAAUUCCACGUGUAGCGGUGAAAUGCGUAGAUAUGUGGAGGAACACCAGUGGCGAAGGCGACUCUCUGGUCUGUAACUGACGCUGAGGCUCGAAAGCGUGGGGAGCAAACAGG
rnacentral:rRNA from 1 species